GAUGAAGGAACGUAGCGAAAUGCGAUAAGUAAUGUGAAUUGCAGAAUUCAGUGAAUCAUCGAAUCUUUGAACGCACAUUGCGCCCGCCAGUAUUCUGGCGGGCAUGCCUGUCUGAGCGUCAUUUCAACCCUCAUGCCCCUAGGGCGUGGUGUUGGGGAUCGGCCAAAGCCCGCGAGGGACGGCCGGCCCCUAAAUCUAGUGGCGGACCCGUCGUGGCCUCCUCUGCGAAGUAGUGAUAUUCCGCAUCGGAGAGCGACGAGCCCCUGCCGUUAAACCCCCAACUUUCCAAGGUUGACCUCAGAUCAGGUAGGAAUACCCGCUGAACUUAAGCAUAUCAAUAGCGGAGGA
rnacentral:misc_RNA from 1 species